AUAACUAAAACAAGGCAGGUGUGAUGGGGUUUGCGCCUUGGAGAAGUCUUUCUCCAGAAUAGAGCUACUCGGGGGCAGUGAGGGGACCUGUCAUAGGCCCGUGGCAGCAACGGAGUAGGAACUAAUGAGGUAUUGGCAGUAGGAAUUCUGAAAGGAUGUGGGAGGUAGGACCCGCAGACCCUGCUGUUGGAGGGGACGUGGGGCAUCACUGACCUAGGAAUGAAUGGUUGGUAGGUCAGACGAUGCUGGCCUGGUGAGCACGGGUGGGCUCCGACUGAGGCACCUGCGAGGUCAAGGGCAGGAAGCCGUUUGAAAUGAGGGUGCUGGGCUUGGGAGCAAGGCCCGGACUCCAGAUCCUGCUGCAUGAACCCUUGCCUGAGUGGAAGACUGCAGGAAGGGCCAGCGUCCUGGGGAGGAGGUUUGAAGAACGCUGCCGGUCGGUCAGGAGCCUUCUGGCUGCAAGUCACAGAGCAGCUAACAAGAUGCGGCUGUCCUGCUGAGGGGUUCAACACCUCCCAAAUGAAGGGUCACAAGAGGGCACUCACGGUGGCUUGCUCAGCAGCAUGCCAUGGCAUCAAGGACUGUUUGGGUCUGCGCUUUUGCCACCCAAGUGUUGUCAGAGAGCUGGAUGGCCCUUGGCGUCACGUGCAGACCGGACUGCUGUCUCGUUCACGAGAGGCCGUUCUCCAUGCAAGAACCUUCCCUUGGAGGGUCUCACCUGCCCAGCAUCGCCAGGAUAGGCUCAGAUGUGAAAGUUCUGGGGCUGGACUUCUGCCAGUGUGGGCAGGUGGGCGUCGGCUGGAGAGGCACCUAGUGUCCGUCACACCCUCCUUUCAGAGGGUAGAGAGACGGUGGAUAUAGAGGGGCAAGGUCAGAGAGCGAGAGUGAAGGUGGGGUUUCAAGAGAGAAGGCGAAGAGUGUGGUUUCUCCAUCUAAGGCGGCAUCUCAGCAGUGAUGGGGAACAAGCUACUGACAUCGUGCCUGUGAGGGAGUCCCCAAAUCCUGAUAGUCCGCUGGAAGAGGCCAAAUGUAAGAGACCACAUGUAUCGUUAUUCUAUUUAUGUGAAGUGUCCGGGAAAGGCAAAUUUAUAUAAAGGGAAGCCUGGACUAAGGGUGAGAGCAGGGAUCAACCAUAAAUGGGAACAAGGGGUCUUUUGAAGGUGACAGAAAUGUUCUCCAUACUGGAACGAUGGGUGACCAACACUGAAAGUUUACGAAAAAUCACUGAAUGGUAUGCCUCAAACAGGUGAAUUUUAUGGUAUGUAAAUUAUACCGCAACAAAGCUGUUAGAAAAGAAAGAAGGUAAUUUGGUCAACAGUAUUAAAUGUUGCAAAGAGAUCAAGUAAACCCAGAAGAGGCUGCGUUCAAUAAGGCGGACGCAGCGGGUCUUGGUCACCUUGCACAGAGCAGGAUCCGGCGAUCAGAACUGCAGACACCUGGUCUGCCAGGUGGACCAUUUAGACUAGGGCAUGAGCAGCUUCUCUCUCACAUUUGUGCUGUAAAGCUGAAGAAUUUCCCUAUUAGAUUUGGAAAAAGUAGGGCCUUGGGAGUCGAAGUUUCCUUCAACUAACCUAAUACUACAAAAGCCUAAGGGCAAUGGAGAGUCCUGACGAGGCGAAAGUGCUGUGUGUCCCAUAAAUAAUAAAAGUAGGUCUUACUACUAUGGGAUAAAAACCAGAAAGUUCUUUCUGGGGUAGGAAUGCGGGAGGGAGAGGCUAGCUGACUGGAAGGGAGCCUGUGGGGACGCUGCACGGUGGUGGAAAGUUCUGCCUCUCGCGGGGGUGAUUACACAGGCGCAUACAAUUGUGAAAACGAAUCCAGCUGUGCAGUUAAGGACUGGGCAUUUUAUCUUGUGUGAAUUGUGCUUCAAAACGCACGGAAUACACACCAGUCCUUGUCUCUUAGAGCUGCACCCAAAGUACUGAAUAUAAAUCGAUGUGACUGACGGAGAUGGUGUCUGAGAUUUGCUGCGAAGUGGAAAGAGUGCGGUGCGCCGAGGACAUUUUCCAAAGGCAGCCGCAGCCCCUGCUCUGCCUCCGGUUCUGCCGUGUGACCUUGAUGCCCCUCCCACCUGGGCGGGGCUUGUAGCCUCUCCUUAAAUCUCUGCCAGCUUGACAUUCUCUUGUAACCAAUACAAGGUGGAGAAAAGUGGUUUGUGAGGCUGGGCCGGGGAAAGGCGAUGCUGUCCCGCCUUGCUCUCCGGAACGCAGACCGGCGCCUGGAACCCUGAGCCGCCACACCCCGCCUGGAAGGAGCCCAGCCCCCUGGGGAGGCCCUGGUCUCUAAGCCCUUCCAGCCUAAGGGCCAGACUUGCGACUGAACAAACCUUCAGGUGAUUCUCCCCCCCCCCCCCCCAGGGGUCUCCCCGGCCGAGCCACCAGACACCACGUAGCAGUAGCAUCAGUGACCAGCCCUGGGAGCCGCCGUCUUGUACGUCCAGCCCAGCGGAGCCUUCAGAGACCACAGCCCCAGACAGCAUCCAACUGUAGCCACCUGGGGACCAUAAGCGAUAGCUGCGCGGUCAAACGUGUCCUGAAUUCCCAACCCUUAAAACUGUGAGAAAACAAAACGGUUGUCUCAAGCUGCUACGGGUUGGGAGAAACCUGAUGUAAAGGUAAACUCGAGCAAGAAGAAAGCUGUCAUUCCACAGAUCAUCAUCACUAAAGCUUCACAAGAGACUCUAAC